GUUCUCAUGAUAGUGAAUGGGUCUCACAAGAUCUGAUGGAUUUAAAGACGGGAGUUUCUCUGCACAAGCUCUCUCUUUUUGCCUGCUGCCGUCCACAUAAGAUGUGACUUGCUCCUCCUUGACUUUUGCCUUCCACCAUGAUUGUGAGGCCUCCCCAGCCACAUGGAACUACAAUGAACUCCAUCCCUGGCCUUGAGGAAGUCCCAGACCACCGAUGAAAUGCAUGGACAGCAACAGAAGAAAGGACAAUCUGAUGAUUCGAGUCAUUUGGAUAAAUAUAUCUCCUCUGAGCUCCAGACCAGCAAGUCAACAUCUGCUUCAAAUCUCCAUGUAGAUGUCACAAAAGCAUCUCAACUCAGCAUGACCAAAGCAGACCUCUGGAUCCACCCUCCCUGGCUGGACCUCUUCUUCUCUUCCCUAUGUGAAAGUUAAUCAACAAAUGUGUCAUUCUUGUCAUACCCAACUAAAACAGAGAGGUCAGGAGUAAAAGCACUCAGGGAACAAAACAUUGCUCCAAGAACGUAAUUCUAUGCAAGCCUGGCUGCUGAAACUGCCUCCUGCACCUGAAACUGCCUCCUGCACCUGAAACAGUUUUAUCUAACAGCUGCUGAAACAAUCUCCUGUGACUUUAAGAAUAGUUGGCCGGGCAUGGUGGCUCACGCCUGUAAUCCCAGCACUUUGGGAGGCCCACACAGGUGGAUCACAAGGUCAGGAGAUGGAGACCAUCCUGGCUAAUACGGUGAAACCCCAUCUCUACCAAAAAUACAAAAAAUUAGCCAGGCAUGGUGGCGGGCACCUGUAGUCCCAGCUACUGGGGAGGCUGAGGCAGGAGAAUGGCGUGAACCCGGGAGGUGGAGCUUGCAGUGAGCCGAGAUCGUGCCACUGCACUCCAGCCUGAGCAACAGAGCAAGACUCAGUCCAAAAAAAAAAAAAAGAAUAAUUUUACCUGUUACUGUCACUUACCAAUCAAAACUUGCCAGCUCCCUCAAACCUUACUAAUGCCAAUGAACUUUCUCAAAGAGCAAUAUGUAACAUUUCUCUUUUUUAUAAAACUUCUUUCUCUUUGUUCAUGGGACAUACUGAAGGCCAGUCGGUCUGUGUGCAUGCCCCCCAAAUUGCAAUUUUUCUUCCCAAAUAAAAUGUUUUCAUUUCAG
rnacentral:lncRNA from 1 species